AUUGAACGCUGGCGGCAUGCCUAACACAUGCAAGUCGAACGGCAGCACAGUAAAGAUUUCGGUCUUUAUGGGUGGCGAGUGGCGGACGGGUGAGUAAUGCGUAGGAAUCUGUCCUGGAGAGUAGGAUAACCCGAGGAAACUCGGGCUAAUACUGCAUGAUAUCGAGAGAUCAAAGGCAGGGGACCCUUCGGGGCCUUGCGCUCUAGGAUGAGCCUACGUCGGAUUAGCUAGUUGGUGGGGUAAAGGCCUACCAAGGCGACGAUCCGUAGCUGGUCUGAGAGGAUGACCAGCCACACUGGGACUGAGACACGGCCCAGACUCCUACGGGAGGCAGCAGUGGGGAAUCUUGGACAAUGGGGGAAACCCUGAUCCAGCGAUGCCGCGUGUGUGAAGAAGGCCUUCGGGUUGUAAAGCACUUUAGUUGGGGAAGAAAAGUAAUGAGUGAAUAACUGAUUGCUCUGACGGUACCCAAAGAAUAAGCACCGGCUAACUCUGUGCCAGCAGCCGCCGUAA
rnacentral:rRNA from 1 species